rnacentral:rRNA from 1 species
CAGUAGCCACGGUAAUACGAAGGGUGCAAGCGUUAAUCGGAAUUACUGGGCGUAAAGCGUGCGUAGGCGGUUUGUUAAGUCUGCUGUGAAAUCCCCGGGCUCAACCUGGGAAUGGCAGUGGAUACUGGCAAGCUAGAGUGUGUCAGAGGAUGGUGGAAUUCUCGGUGUAGCGGUGAAAUGCGUAGAGAUCGGGAGGAACAUCAGUGGCGAAGGCGGCCAUCUGGGACAACACUGACGCUGAGGCACGAAAGCGUGGGGAGCAAACAGGAUUAGAUACCCCGGUAGUCCCUGUCUCUUAUAC